rnacentral:rRNA from 1 species
GCUUGUCUCAAAGAUUAAGCCAUGCAUGUCUAAGUAUAAGCCUUUACACGGUGAGACUGCGAAUGGCUCAUUAAAUCAGAAACUGUUUAUUUGAUAGUGCCUACUACUUGGAUAACCGUAGUAAUUCUAGAGCUAAUACAUGCAAAAAGCCUGGACUUCUGGAACAGGCGUAUUUAUUAGAUAUACAAACCAACCGCUUCGGCGACCUUGGGUGACUCAUAAUAACUUUCGGAUCGAUCCUCGGAUCGAUGCAUCAUUCAAGUUUCUGCCCUAUCAGCUUUGGAUGGUAGGGUAUUGGCCUACCAUGGCUUUAACGGGUAACGGAGAAUUAGGGUUCGAUUCCGGAGAGGGAGCCUGAGAAAUGGCUACCACAUCCAAGGAAGGCAGCAGG